rnacentral:tRNA from 1 species
GCCGCGUUAGCUCAGUUGGCAGAGCCCCGAUCUUGUAAAUCGGCUGUCGGGAGUUCGAUUCUCCCACGCGGCU